rnacentral:lncRNA from 1 species
UACAACCAUAGUAACAUCUUUUUUACGAACAGCAUUCUCCGGCAAGAUAAGGACACUAAACCAUUUCUAUUCUCUACUUUCUUUACCAUCCCUUCUUAGAUUUUAUCACACUGAGGACAGUGUGAAAUAAGUCUGGGGGAGGAUGUUCAUUCUACUACUAACGAAAUUUGAUUUGUUUUGAGUUUGUUUUGCACGCAUAAAAAUUUUUAAAAAUCUUUUUUAAAAAGUUUUCAAACCAGGAACACAAGAAACAUUACUGUGAUAAUUUAGACCAGUGUGCUUCUACGCUAUUUUCUUGUUAAUAACUCUUUUGUGAUUUAGGACUAGAUUAGGCAGUAGCUAGAGUACUUGCACUACGAAUUCCCACCAGAAGACUUUUAUUCAUGGAGAUUCUUUCUGACAGGAUAUACUAGCUCAUCUUAUUUAGACUUAAUCUUGACUUAACUCUUUCAUUGAGGCAUUAUAUCAGGGAAACGAAUCAUACAUUCAUGACUCUUUUACCCUUUUACCAUUCUUUGUUGAUCCUGAAUGACUAGUUCAUCUUUAGCUAGUUUGCCACCUAACCUAACCUCUUUCAGGCCACAUGCAUUCUUGUUUUUCAUUUUCCUAUAUGUAGAUAUGUGCAAAAAAGUCGGAGAGAAAGAUGAUCAAUGAGGUUUUCAGUCACUGAAGACGGAGACAUGCAAAUUCACCGGAAUGAUUCAAUAUAUGAGAAAACUUGGUUUACCUCAAAAAACUUCAAAAAAUGAUACAUUUUCGUCUCUUAGGCUCUCUCUUAAUAAAAAGUUGUUUCCCUUUUCAAAAAAAAAUUGCAAAAAAAAUCGAAAAAAGGGAGAAAAAGAAAAGAAAAGAAAAAUAAGAAAGGAAAGAAAAUUUUAAACCUUAGAAAGUCUAGGAGGAUCGAAUUUUAUCCUUGAGGCAGGCUUUAGUUCGAUUAUUUGGAGUUUUGGAGAUCAUCUUUCUGAUUCCCGGAAAAGAUCUAAGUAUGGGGGAACAACUGUUUUCAACAAAGGAGGAAUGAUUAUGCAACAACAUAUGUCAAAGAGAAGUGACUGAAAAUUGCGGACAUCGACAGGUCCACUCUCUCUUGCGGUUUUGCAUAAUAUCUUGCAUCCUCCAGGUUUUCAGGUAACCCGAAACACUUUUAACUCCACCACUUAAACAACCCUUAAUACCAAACGCUGUCUACCAUGAAUAAUGUUUCUAAUGAGAAUUCAGUAUACACUUAAUGAAUGAAAGAGCUAUUUGACUGGAAGUUAGAUCUAAGAGUGUAGAAUUUCGCAUGACGGAUCAACAGACUAGUUAUGCUUGUAUUUUGGUGAGAAUUUUCUAAACUAGAUCCAAGCAGAUGUUUUACGAUAGGUUAUGGUUUAGAAGGACGGUCACUGAGAUAUUGUUUAGUUCCAGCGGAUUUUUAAAAUUUCUUUCCAGCUUAAUCGAUGUUUAUUUGAGGACAAAAAAUGUUUAAAUCUGGGGGAGUUAAUAACACCAGAUUUUGAUUACUUUUAUCAUAUUAAAGUCUUAUGCAGGUACUUUAAUUCUGUUUUCAAUGUUUUUUAAAGUGUUUUCAAUGUUUGAGAGUUUCAAAAGACUUUUCAGGAAACUUGGAAUAAAGAUGUGCAAUUUGGAACAAAUGAGCAAUUUUUGAUAAAUGCAGAGCGUCAGAAGUAUGGCAGGCGAUGAAGAUCUUCUCAAUGUUUGAUCACCCCCAAGCUUUGAGACAACAUAUGAGGUACAACUAGCUUUCUAAUGCAAUUGGUUUGAAGACAAUGCAACGGUUAGAUCUUCAGAUACUCCUGAUGCACUAAAAACAGAGAAUGCAGUUUCGAAAGAGAACAUUAGCCGGGACCGCGGCCAAGCCAUGUUUCCCCGCGGGUACAGGAACCACGAUCGCGGCCAGACAACGUUCACUUCCCAGAAAACCUAAUUCAGGCUCAAGUUGAUUUUCUUCAUUAUUUUUGAAGCCCUAAGUGUCCAAGACAACUCCCAAAGCUACAAAUACCCCCUUUAGGUCAUUCUAAAGGGCAAGGAGAGUGUGUGCACGAGUUUAACAAAAACCCUAGAGAGUAGCUGUCUUCGAAGAGGAGCCGUUGAGGAGAGCAUCAUCGCGCCUCCAUCUGCGCUUUUGUUCUUCGUUCUUCUUCCUUGUUUUCUUUAAUUUCCAGCAACUUUAAAUACCUCAUGAUGCUUUGUUACAAUAUGUUUGAGUACUUUUUCAGUUGGGUUUGAAGAGAUUUUUCAAAGGAAAUUUCGUGUGUCUAUUGCUAUGAAUCACUAGAUUUAGGAUUAAUAAUCUUCUAGGUGUUUUUUGUUUACCUUUAUUCUUAUUGCAUGAUUCUCGGCUGGCCACUUAUAAUUCGAUCUAGAUAUGAUAUGUUGCAAAUGUUUUCAUUGAUUGUCUGACCUAGGGUGAAACAAGCAAUUCUGCCAUAGGAGUGGAAACCUACCUAUGGAUGAGUUGUGAAUGUUGAUGAGUCUUUUUCAAUCUAUUGCAUCUUCUCCCUUCCAUGGCCAGAGUGAAAACCUAUUGGUUAGGGUUGCGAGAGAUAAUUGGUUAGUGCUGCGAAAGUAGGCUAGUCAUACUACCGUGCCUCGAGUUCUAGAAUAUACAUAUUCGAUUACCUUUAUCAUUUAUUUCCAUCAUAGGUUUAGUCCAUGAAUCCCUGCGAAUACCCUUAAGCCCUGCGUCCAUUUUUAAUUGUUUACAACCUCGAUUUUAACUUGCUUUUACCUGCUUUCGUUAUCAAUUGUUUUCUACUUGCUUUCUAGUUUAGAUUUAGUGACACCCAAAACCAAAAACCCAAAUUGUUUACUUCUAGUCAGAUUUAAGCAUUAGCGUGAAUUCGUACUGAAACAACUAAGUCUCUGUGGAUUGAUACUCUAAGUACUACAGUGCACAUCUGUGCACUGUAGACAUUUAGGGAUUAUAAAUUUAAAACCUGAAACUUGGUAAAACCGACAACCCGGUUUUCCAUUGCAUCAGGCCGUGACAAGGCCACCCGUGGCCGGCUCAUUUUUCUCUUCCCGACUUAUUUUCCAUUUUUCCCAUAAACCGGAACUUAUGCAAUCCCGAUCAAUCUCGGAUUUGAACCGAGAUGUUUCUGUAAUGAUUUUUAGUGGCCUAUACGCCAGGUAAGUUCUUAUAAACUUUUUAGAAUAAUAUUUUCCUAGAAAAACAACUUUUCAGAAGAGAAGAUUUUGGAUUAAAAAGGUUUUUCUCGUCAUAUUCUCCAACAAGCUUACAUAUUUUGAGAAAAGACCAGUUUUCCAAUCUGCUGUUUUUAUCCAAAUUUUUGAUCCGACCUCAAUAUUUUUCAAAGAAGAUUCCAAAUUUAUCAUUGUCUCACUCUUUCCUGAAGGUACAUAUCCAUAUUUUUCACUUUUUCAUAUGAACUCAAUUUUUGGGUUUUUUAGAUUCAGUGAGAAUUCACCUUGGGAUGAUUACUGUAACAUCCCUAUCCCAGGCUCCUGAGAGGCGUCGAGAUUGGGUAUGUUAGGUUGGUCGUCUAAAUGCAUUCGGUAAGACACCUAGUUUGGUCCAUUGGUGAGCACACAAGAUCGGCAGGAAAACACUCAGAUAACAAUCAACAACAUAGACAUAGCUGAUCUAAAUAUACCUGAAAAUAAAACAAGGGAAGAAAAGUGAUGAGUCAUGGGGAUUACUCAGCAAUGAUGGACCUUAAAGAGGCCCACAAUACCAUCAGACUAACAUAAUUAUAUUUAAAAAGUCUAAUCAUAAAACGGCCUAAGCAACAUUAAAUAUUAUAAUAAAACAUUUCAAGUUUGUUUCUAACAAUCAAUCACACAACAAGAAAAAGUAACCAUAGCAUACAACUACUAAACAGCGUGCCCUGGUCAAAACCAGUUAUAAUGUGCAGUCCCUCGACCCCAUGCCUCCCCGGAAAGGAAAAACCAUAAUAGUCCCAACUAAUGACUAGUCUACAACCGGCCCAUUAGUCAGGUCCAUUCCACCUGCUCACACAGACUGUACCAGUGGUCACUCAAACAGGCAGUUACCAGCGGUCAUAUAGACAGACUAUUUAAACAUUUGGUGGAUCGCUCUAUCCACACCCCGCAAUGACUGCUGUAUGGUCACACAGACAUCAGCCAAGCCAGGAAACAACAUUGACCCCCAAAUCCAGGAGCCAGGGACCUAACAAGUUCUACUAUCCACACAUUAUCCACCCAAACAAUCAAUUCAUUCUUUUUAUUUAAAAGUCAUUCUAUUAUUAAGAUGCACAUUCCUUGGUAACAAGUUGUAACAAAAAGGAACAUUUAACAUCACACAAUCCAUAUUUUAGGGUUCCAUAAGUCCAGAUCCAUAUUCAGAUUUCUUGUAUAACAUUCCACCAUCAAACAACAAUCACCAACAAUCAAGCAACAUGGAUCCUGGUCAUCAAUUCUAACAACCCUAACAAUCAGAUCUAAGUUUUGGUUUAAGAAAAUACUAAUUAAAAAUAAUCAUGCAUAUGAAAGAGAGGGUGAAGCUAAAAGUCCUCAGAUAUAUUUCUGGAAGAAGAUACACUUUUCCUUCCUCUUUAAGCAGAUCUGACACCCUAUACGAAAAUGACGAUAUCUUCUGGCACAGACCUCCGAUUUGGAUGAACUUUCUCUUCUUAGAAAGCUGACACUCGGAGCUUCAAUUUGAUAGGCAGAUCGUUGCGUGGUGCCCCACGUUUAGCCAGGAAAUCGUCCUGCAAGGAGGCGGCAACGGCUAGGGUUUUAGAGAGAGGAAGAGAGAGAGACAGAUGAGGAAGAAAGGAAAGUGGCCAAGGUAGAGAGGAAGAGAAAGAGAGCAACGGUGAGAGAGAGAGGGAGAGGAUGGCGUGGCUGAGAGAGGGAGAAGAGAAGAGAAGAAUGGGGCUAGAGUUUUCCAAAGGUAAGAAUAAUUAAGGAGAUAUUUAUAGUUAUAGCUAAUUUAGAUGGACUGGGCUAAUGAGCUUCUUAAAAGAGAUUAGAAAAAAUGUUUUUUUAAAAAAUAAGAAAUGAAUGGUUUAAUCAAAUUAAACCAGAAUUACGAAUUAGUAACAACCGAUAUUUGGGCGAACCGAAGGUCGGAUUGUUACAAUCUUCCCCCUUUCACGAGAUUCGUCCCCAAAUCCUAGGAAUAAAGAUCAUAGAAGGAGAUGAAGGGUUCAAGACCAAGGAAAAUAAAAAGAACAAGAGACAAGAGAGAGCUUGGUCGCAGAAGGAGAAGAGAAGAGAGAAUCAGGAAUGGGAUCACAGGGGCCAAGGCGCCAAAAUAGAGAUGAUGCUAAGGUUUUAAGAAUGCAGAGUGAUUGACAAAAACGUGGAGGAGAGAGAGAGUUCAAGGAAUGAUGCGAUGGAAACAUUUUGAGUAAAAGCCAAAAACCAUUUUACUAAUGUGACAAGGAGGAGUAUAACAUAUGUUUUGAAAUAGAAAAUGAAAAGAAAGCAUCAGCAUAAAAUCUAACUAUUUCCUAAGAAUCCUAAAAGCAAUCAAUAAUUUAAACAAAUAUAAAUAGAGUUCUACUCCUAUGGAAACCUUUUUUUUCUAAUCACUAAAACGAGCUUCAAGCGGAUCUCCUUUAAUGACAAAAUCUGACAAGAUGGUGCUGAAUGACCCUCCUGGUCUGGCUCAUCCCAUGCGCAGCUGGUCCCUUAAGUUUGAGGAUAUAAAAUAAAGGAAAAAGAAAGGAAAAGGAUAGGAAAAGAACAUUUAUCAGAUCAGUGUCUAUAAGUUGUUGUUGUUCUAUGUUUGAAAACAUCUUAAAAGGGUUUAAGAAAACAUUUUUCGCAAACGCGAUAAAACACACACACACGGGUGCUACCCCUCUAGAGUGGAGCUAGAGUGACCUAAUCUUGGGCUCUGAUACCAAUUGUAACAUCCCUAUCUCAAGCUCCUGAGAGGCGGGGAGAUCGGGUAGUUAGGUUGGCCAUCUAAACCGCAUUCGGUAAGACGCCUAGUUUUGUCCAUUGGUGAGCAUACAUGAUUGCCAGGAAAACGUCCAAGUAACAAUGAACAACAUAAACAUAGCUGAUCUAACUAUACCUGAAAAUAAAACAAGGGAAGAGAAGGGGUGAGUAAUGGGAAUUACUCAGCAAAGAUGGACCUUGAGGAGGCCCACAACACCAUCAGACUAACAUAAUUAUAUUUAAAACUUUAAUCCUAAAACAAGCUCAAGCAACAUAAAAUAUUAUAAUAAAUAAUUCAAGUUUGUUUCUAACAAUCAAUCGCACAACAAACAAGGGUAACCCUAGCAUACAACUACCAAACAGCGGGCCCUCGGACCUAGUGGCAGAGCUAGCUUUGUUGGAGGGGGGUCAACUGACCCCUGUGAAUUUUAGAAAAUUUUAUUAAAUAGUUUGUAGUUUGUAGCAAAUAUUAGUAUUGACUCCGGUAGAAAAUAUAUAAUGUCUUACUAUUGACCCCGGUAGAAACUAUUUCUGGUUCUGCCACUUCUCGGACCUCAUGCCUCCCCGGAAAAGCAAAACCAGAAUAGUCCCAACUAAUGACUAGUCUACAACCGGCUCAUUAGUCAGGUCCAUUCCACCUAAUCACACAGACUGUACCAGCGGUCACUCAGACAGGCAGUUACCAACAGUCACAUAGACAGAUUAUUUAAACAUUUGGUGGAUCGCUCUAUCCACACCCCGCGAUGACUGCUGUAUAUUCAAAUAGACAUCAGCCCAGUCAACAAACAACACUGACCCCCAAAUCCAGGCCAGGGACCUAACAAGUUCUACUAUCCACACAUUAUGAAACAAUCAAUCCAUUCUUUUUAUUUUAAAAAGUCUUUAAUUAUUAAGAUGCACAUUCGUUGAUAACAAUUUGUAACAAAAUGGAACAUUUAACAAGUUAAUAUCACACAAUCCAUAUUUUAGGGUUCCAUAAGUUUAGAUCCAUAUUCAGAUUUCAUGUAUAACAUUCCACCAUCAACCAGCAAUCAUCAACAAUCAAGCAACAUGGAUCCGAGUCCUAAUCAAUUCUAACAACCCUAACAAUCAGAUCUAAGCUUCGGUUUAAGAAAACACUAAUUAAAAAUAACCAUGCAUAUGAAAGAGAAAGUGAAGCUAAAAGGCUUCAAUUUGAUAGGUUGAUCGUCAUGUGGCUUUUCACGGUUUGCCGGAAAAGAAUAUUUAUAAUUAGGGUUAAUUUAGCUGGACUGGACUAAUGGGCUACUUAAAAGAGAUUAGGAAAAAUGCUUAUUAAAAGAAAUAAGAAAAGAAUGGUUUAAUCAAAUUAAACCAGAAUUAAAAAUUAGUAACAACCGACAUUUGGACGAACCGAAGGUCCGGUUGUUACAAUUAGAGAUAGUUAAUGAACUUAAAAAUAGACGUCUAGGUAGUUUAUAUGUUUUAAUACCUAGUUGCUAUGAAUUUGAGAUUUAAAAUUUUUAAAUUUGGAACACUUAGAAGAAAAUCGAAUUUGGAGAGUUUUAUUGUCUAGCAUUGCUAAAUCUAGAGUGAUUAGUCACUCUUAGCAGGUAAUAUACUUAGAUUUCAUAUGAAUAAGCAUCAAACACACUUAAUUUUGAAAAAUUCAUAUGUAGAACAUCACAAAUCCGAAAUUAGUCAUGAAAUUUUUUAUUUGUCAUAUGGGAUGCAAUUAUCGCUUGUUUGCUCUUGAAUAUGUUUGUUGAUCCUGUAUAAGUAUUAUUAUUGCUCAUAAGAAUUGAUUCAAUUGCAGCCUUAUUCAUUUGGUGUCUCGAGAAUUUUGUUUUGCAGAUUAUGAAAUAUUCACGAAUGCAUCUCAUACGCACCAAGGAGAGUGCACACAUAAAGAAACCUCAUUCCUAGGAGACAUUGGAUGCUAUAAGCAAGACACUUGAGUAGUAGAGCUCCUCUGGCCAGAUUCAUAUCCACGCAGAAGGAGAUUCUUGCAGAACAUGGAACAAGGACUUCUACAUCUCACAAACUUGCAUCACCACCUCGCAGCAUCACUUCUUCGUCCAGAACCAGAGUAAAAUUUGUUGGCAAGGGUCUUGAUCCAAACAUCAACUACAUGGAAAAGCUUGAGAAACUUAAGAUUAAGCCUACACCAGCAAUUGAUUUUUCCACUCUGGAGAUGUUUGGAAUCAAAGAGGAUGUGGUAUGGUAUCUUGAUUCAUUUGGAAUCAGACCUUUUAUGGAACAGAAAUUUCCAACCUAUGAAAGCUACACUAGGGAGUUUCUGGAAUCCGUCACCAUGUGCUACAAGAAGAAGGCCAACCCCAGAGCUUUAGGUGGUACACUUUCCUUCUCUAUUAAGGGGCAUCUUUAUUCACUUACCAUUGUGGAGAUGUGUGAAGCUCUAAAGCUUUCAUACAAUGAUGUUAAGGCGUGAGAACUAAGUUCUCGAAAAUCCUUAAGCCCAUUUAACUAAUUGAACGUCCCAACGAGACAACUGGGUGAAGGCUGCGUCAAGUGUAAAGGACGACACUUGAUAAACCGAAAUGAUCAAAUGGCUAACCACCAAGUAAUCAGAAAAAGUUCAUGAAGAACAAAAGAGAGAAUUCUCUAAGAAAUUUUAUUAAGAAAAAAGUGAAUGAAUGAGAUCUGGGAUCUCUACAUCGUUUAUAUAGAGGAAAGAGAAGGCGAAAAGCCAUACUCGGUAAUGAAAAUUUUAUUAAAUGAACCUAAGACCGAAAUAAAUAAAGCUUGGACUAACUCCUCGGCUGCCUUGACUGCGUUAAAUGACUCUUGGACUGCCAGCCGAGAUGACUCUUAGAAUUCUUCAUGAGUUUGGGCCGGGAAAGGAGUGUAAGCCCAUAGCCUCGUUAAAACCUCCACCCAAAAAACCCAUUGGGACAAAACCGAGCACAGGAAAAAGAGUACCAUGAACUUACACGCCCGCCAAACCUCAAUCUUAUUCCUGGUACGAUACUGAGGUCAAGAUGGCAAGUGUAAGUUGAUCUUCACUGAUUCGGCCAUGAACCUCCAUGUUCCUGAUUCCUUCAAGCAAACUCCGAACAGCUCCAGCAAGCUUCCGGGUCUUGGACCGCGUUAAGGGACCCUCCGGAACGACUAAGGCUGAUUCCGGAACCUCCACUUGUGCUUCUGGUUCCAUGAUCACAUCACAAAAACAUUGGUUAAUGGACUUCCUCGUGGACCAAAGACAGUUAGAUGUUUAUGGAUGUGGUACAUCUACCUGAUACAUUUAUAUGGAGGCCAACGAUGGAUAUGACAUACCUUGAGGACUGUUUGAUGGAAUUUUUAAGCAUACCCAGUCAGCAAAGUUGUAUUCAAAAAUACCACAUAUGCAAUAGGUCAGAAAUCUCCUCUUCCGAUUUUUGCACUGACAGAUCAAAAAUCAAAGACUGCCACUACAGGUUCUUCAUCUCCUACUCAGACAUCUACAAGAACAUGUACUAAAUCUGCAGCAAUACUUUUCAAAUGUCCUGUUGAGAAGUCUCUUGCAACAGAUCCAAAAUCUCAUGUCAAGCAAAGUCAACUAGCUUCAUAAUCCCAUCUUUUUGUAUGUUUUGCAAUUGCUUAUAGUUAAUAUUCUCACAGUAAUGAAUGUUUUAUAGUGUAAAUAUGGCAGCGUAAAAAUGGAGAUGCAGUUGUCAAGGCAAAUCAGAAGUGUAAGUUGCUGGAUAUAAGCGGAAUGAAGCGGGUUGUUGUGGAAGGACGAUGGCAUUCAAACGACCCAGAUCAUAAGGUACUCUUUGUUCGCUUGGGGACUAAUGCAGCUAGAGUUUGGAUAGAUAUAGUGAAAAUACAUGAUGCACCAGAUUGGAGGCCAUCUGAGGAAAUCGAGUGUAUAGAAAAUGCACUUGGUACAUUUACUGCUUGGCGAACUAAUAAGUUGGUCGUCUUCUGACUUAAAGAAACUGAUGUAAGUGUUGUAAAUACUGUGAUUCUUGUACUUUGGUUUCACAUUUGUUAUUGUUAUUGCUAAAUUGAUGUAAGUCAUGGUUGAUUGUUUCAGGGAAUGAGGACACUUUGGUCUAAAUUAGCUAGUUUUAAGUAGUUUGAGACUAGGCUAAUGAGCUUAUGACUUGUACAUAUAUAUAUAUAUAUAUAUAUUUUUUUUUUUUGAAUAGAAUGUUAAAUUUUAUUCAAGAAAAAAAGAAACUUUUUUUUUACAACUUUUAACUGAAAGGCGCUCUUUGGUGCCAAUCAAAGAAUUACAUUUUGCUGGAAAAAAUUAAGUAUCUUCUUGCAAACCAAACCAAGUUUGCAAUCCCUUGCCAUAUUUGUUCCUUGUUGUGCUGAGCAUGUUCCGCACAACCCGAUCAAUGUGUCUGACAUUACAUCCCUUGGAGUGUUCCUUUCUCCAUGACGUAUGUUGUUACGUUCACACCAUAUAAAGUGUAUUGCUGCGUGAAACACAUAUCGGAGAAUGAAAGAGUUGGUCGACUUGCCGAGUGGUUGAGACAUACCUUCAACAAGAUCAGCCCACUUCAUCGUGAAGCUGGUACCCAUGAGUCUUCCACCUAGAGCUUUCCAGAGAGUCCCUGAGUAGGUGCAUUCAAAGAACAAGUGAUCCCGAGUCUCCAUAAGGUCACCACAAAGAACACAAGCAGAGUUGACAUUUGUAUUCCAUUUUACCAUUCAGUCACUAGUCGUUAAUCGGUUUUUUGCCGCUAGCCAUACAACAAAAGAAUAUUUGGGAGUUGCAGAGGAGAACCAAAUGCUAUAGUAGGGGUUCCAUUUCGCAUUUAGUACUCUCAUGUUGUCCUAAGUGUCCUUUGAGCUGAAUUUUUCCUUGUAGUUGUCCCCUUUUCUACGCCACGAAGGGAUAUCUUCCUUGUCAAGAAUGCGUCUGUUUCUCUCUGCUUGUAUUGCUUCUUCUACUUGUCUUAGCUGGGUAUUGCAGUGUCUUCUGUGUCUUAUGUUGUGCAAGUCUGAGCCUAGAGUAGCGUCGAUAUGGAUCCCAAAAUCGAUGCUUCCUCUUGCUCCAAAGACCUCAUAUAAACAAUCCAUAGCACUCCAUUUAUCGAACCAAAAAGGAAGUGCCAUAAUUGUUUCCCACUUCGAUUUUGUAUAAGUCCUUUGCCUGUGCUCUAUACUUGAGAAUCUUUUUCCAGAUCCAUGAUCCCAUUGUCGUGGUUUCACUGACGCGCCCGAGAGAACCAUGCUGAAUCAAAUACCACUAAACCCAGUUUACCCAUAAGGAGUCUUUUGCAAAGAGAAUUCUCCAUAUGAGCUUCAUGAUGCAGACUUAAUUGACCGAGUUUAAGUCCUUGAUCCCUAAGCCCCCUUCGUCUUUUGGGGAACAAACCUUCUUCCAAGAGACUUUUGCUUUCUUCGCGUUUAGAUCUUUGCCAGACCAGAGAAAUGAUGCACAGAUUCUAUCAAUCUCCUUGAUGCAGGCUUUUGGUAAGCGAAAGGCCAUCAUCCAGAAGUUUGUUAUACUGAAGAUUACAGAGUUCAGGAGUUGUAAUCGACCCCAAAAGGAUAAAGCUCAAAAUGUCCAGGAUCCAAUCUUGUUUUUAAUCUUCUCUAGCAACGGUAAGUAGUCAGCUUUGGUCAUUCUCCGAGACAAUAGAGGCAGACCUAAGUACCUAACUGGUAAAUUCCCUGAAGCAAAAGGAAAUUCCCGAAGAAUAUCCUCACGAGUAUCCUCUGUAAUCCCUGCUAUAUGCAUAGUAGAUUUCUCUAUACUGAUAUAUAAACCAGAGUGUAUUGCAAAGUCCUCAUGUACCUCAAGAGAUACCUCUAUGGAUCUUUUGUUUCCUUCUACAAAGAUUAUUAAGUCAUCUGCAAAACAAAGAUGUGUCAGAGACAUGUCUUUGCACAUAGGAUGAUAGCCGAUUUUGUUUUCUGCAGCUACCUUUUUAAGCUUUUGAGACAAGAUGUUCAUACAGACCACAAACAGAUAUGGAGAUCAAGCACAGCCUUGUCUUAAUCCCCGUGAACUUCCAAAGUACCCUGCUAAUUCACCAUUGAUUUGCACUGAGAAGGACGCAGAUGAUAUACACAGCCGAAUCCAAUGGAUAUACUCAUCUGGGAAAGCCAUUGCUUUCAAAGUGUUCAACAAAAACUCCCAUUGUACUGAAUCAAAAGCUUUGGCUAUGUCAAUCUUCAUUGCACAUCUAGCUGAGAUAUUUUCUUUGUGGUAAUCCUUGACUAAUUCAGUGGCUAGAAGAACAUUUUCCAUAAGCAAUCUAUUUUUUACGAAGGCCGAUUGAUUUGGUAAAAUGAACCUUGGAAGAAUGAUCUUUAGCCUAUUAGCCAGGAUUUUUGAAAUGAUUUUGUAGAGGACAUUACAGCAGGAGAUGGGUCUGUAGUCUCUCAUGGUUGUAAUUCUUUCUUUUUUGGAAUCAAUGCCAAAAUAUUUAAGCUCACUCCUUUGGGUAGGAGCCCCUGUUUAAAGAAAGAUUGGACUGCAAUAGUGAUGUCUCGUCCAAGUAUCUACUAUGUUUCUUUAUAGAACUCUGUAGUGUAACCAUCAGGACCUGGUGUUUUUUCUUUUGGCAUUGAGAAGAGAACACGCCUGAUCUCUUCCUCACAAACCACAUGAGUUAGAAGCUCCUUAUCAGCAUCAGUGCAUUGGUAAUCUGUAAUGUCCUGCAGUUCUUCAACCAUCCAACUAGAAAAUCUCUCUGGUUGUUCAUUUAGAAAACCACUAAAAUACUUAAUCGCUUCCUCUUUUAUGUCCUCUGCACUUAUUUUAAUAGAUCCAUCAGAACCUUGAACUUCUCCAAUGUGGUUCCUCAGAGCUCUGGCUUUUAUUGCAUUGAAGAACACUCGAGUGUUUUGAUCCCCAGCUUUUAACCAGGCCAGCUUUGCCUUUUGCCUCAAGUAUUUCUCCUCCGCACUAGCAAGUCGUUUGCAUAGUAAUCUCGUGCAGCUCACAGAGUCUGCAAUAAGCGUCCCUGGUUCGUUUUGUGAUAUUGCUGAGCAUAUCCUUCUCCAUAGCUCGAAUGGGGUUUUUGAGAGACUUUAACUUCUUUGAGAGUCUGUAGAGAGACGAAGUUGAAUGGAAGAGAGGUUGAGUUCUGCUCCAUAUAGUUUGGGUCUGCUCCAUAUAGUUUGGGUCUGCUCCAUAAACACCGGAUAUUGGACUAGAGCAUUAGUGAAUUUGAAGGGCCUCUUUUCUCUUGAUUCUCUUUCUUUAAGAUGUAUGCGGCAUCUAAGGUGGUCUGAACAGCCACCAGCCCCAAACACACAAUAUGACUUUGCAUUCUUUGUGAUCCAAUCACCAUUUACUAAGACUCUGUCCAAUAAUUUCUUACUGAUCAAUCCCGAUGUCCGUUUGUUAGUCCAAGUAAAUUUAGGACCGUGAUAACUUAGAUCCAGCAGUUCACAAUAUCCCACUGCUUCUUGGAAGUAUCUCAUUCCUAGAGGCACGGUGGGAUUAUCUUCAAACGCAGAAUGUUCUUAUCCCUCCAAGAUUUCGUUAAAGUCUCUGCAUAUGAUCCAGGGUUUGCCUCUGAACAAGCCUGAGUCGUGGUGAUUUUUCAUAUCUUAAUUUCCACAACAAUUUUCUGUCUUCCACUGUAUUUGAAGCAUAAAAAAAUGUGACCAGAUAAAGCUCAUCACUAUUCUCUUUCAUUACCGAACAAGAAAUCAUCUGUGCAGACUUGUAUACGGGCGUGACACGCACAUUCUGUCUCCAUAAAACCCACAACCUCCCGAGCAUGUGAUGCUCGUAGUUUCCCAUCCAGUACCAAUCUCUAAACACCUCUGAAACUACUUUAUUUGCAUGUCUUUCCUUCACCUUCGUUUCUAGUAAGCAACCGAAAUCAAAACCGCUCCGAUCAACCCAAUCCUUUACAACUUGAUGUUUACUGCGUUUAUUGAAGCCUCUAAUAUUUCAGAAAAAUCCAGACAUUAAAGUUUUUUGCGAGGGGGACCAGACUUCUGAUUGCCUUGGGGGUUAGCCAAGACAUUCUUAGUUUGGUUUGUAAACGUUUUCUUCUGAGCUAAUCUUUGGGACUGUCUCUUGUUCUGUUCCAAGCUAUUAUCAGAUUCAGACUUGUUUUGUUGUUGAGGUGCAGCAGAAUCCUGCGCUACAUCAGUUACCGUUUUAUUUUCCGUGAUCUCAUCCUGCUUUUCCACUUGCAUUACUGCGUCCUUUGCAAUGGGAAUAUCAUUUGCUAAGACCUCUUCUCUAAUCUCAUCACUGUUAACCUCUUCGUCCUCAUCUCCAUUUUUUUGUAAUGCCAUAAACCGCGAGUUAGCAAGGAUGCUCACCUCUCCAUAAGCCGUGUCUUUGGUAACUUUGUUUGGUGAUUGUAUCGUUUUAGUGGGUGUAGUCCAUUCCCCUUCUUUGAUCUCUUUAGGGGAAUUUUCGGGGAUUUCAACUACGUUACUCAUAACUUCCUGUUGCAUCUGUUUGUCCUUUGUUCCUCUCAGUAUUGAAGUUACCUGAGUUUGAGCUGCUUUUGGACUAGGUGGAUCACUCUGUUUUUGUACUUUCUCAAAACACAUUCAGUAUAUUUUUGCCCCCAUUUUUCACAGUUAGCACACUUUGCAGGCAACCAAGGAUACUCGUAGAAGAUCUGAACACAGUUCCCAUCCUCCACCUCGAAAGUGUAUGAUUUUGGCAGCGAUUUUGUGAGAUCCACUUCAACGAAAACACGAGCUUCUUCAAAGCUUUUGCAGAGCUCGGUAUCGGGAUGAAGGUGCUUUGGCUCACCAAUCGGACUUGUCAGGAAAGAGAGUCCCUUCCACGCAAACAUUGAUCUGGGAACUUUCUUUACCACCACCCAGAGAGGAAUGAAUUUCAAUUUUGGCUGCAUCUUUUCUGUGAUUGGACUCCAUUUCGAUAUGAUCACCGGCACAUCGCAUAAGUUCCACAUACGUCGUUUAAGUACUCUGUUUCUCACUGUUGCGUCUCUGAUCCAAAAUUUCAUCGUAGUUUUUUCGAUCACGUUAACAUCAAUCCGCACUGUUUGUCUGAAAAUGGCCAGAUUUUGUUAACCAAGACAUGUAUUUUUCCUACAUAUGGUGCCAUGUCUAGAAACUUCCCCACCAAGAGAUCUUCCCAAAGUGGUGGAGAGUCCUUCAAAACAUCGGUUGGGACUUUAAUGGUGUCUACUCCAUUAACAUCCACCACUGUAAAUUCAUAUUUCUGCAUCACUUGUCUGUUCUGGACAGCCGCCAACCAAGCUCUACCUUUCGCCGGCGAAACUGUUUCCUUUACCUCACUCUGAAUCUGUGAACUCUCUUCGACACUAGCUAGUUUUUCCCCCUCCUCCACUCGUUUCGGUUCCACACCUACCACUGCUUGCUUGUUACUCACUUCCAGAUUAUCCUUCUGAGUCGAACCCUUGUCACGCCCUGGUGGAGAGGCCGGCGGAGGCAACUUCGUGUUGGAGAAGCAAAGAAACCCUAAUCGCCCUGAAUAUCGCCCUCUUACCAAUACUCACCGUUUUAAAAUCAAGACCACAUUGUUGCUUCGGGAAAAUCAAACUUCGACUUGUAUUUCUUAUGUAUUUGGGAUUCAGACUUGUGCUACGUAUAUUGGAUUGAGAUUUAGUCUUGUGUUAUGUAUGUUGGAUUGGAAUUCAGACUUAUGUCAUGAUUUAUACAAUUUCUAUUUCAAAUGAUUCUCGUUAACAUGAUGCAAAGCAGAGUUCUUGAAUUAUAACAAUAGGUAACUGUCUGAAAACAUAUAUAAUAGCAAACACAAAACCGUUAUAAUCUUAUAUCAUAGCGACGAAAAUUAGUUAUGAAUUACUGUAUUACAGCAUUUGACAACACUAAAACUAAAUUAAGUAUAACAAUAAUAUAUACUUAUUGUACAAAUAUCUGUUAUAGCCCGAAACAUGACUUGUUAAAUAGUGUAUUACAGUAUAAUAAAACGCUAUAAAGAAAUAAAUUAUAGCUAUAUAGAAUUGCAGUCAUAGAUGGACCUAUCAUAGCUAGAAUUAUAAUUCAUCAUUAAAUUUAUACAAAAAAUAGAGGUGCUAUAACAAAAUCAAUAAAAGCAUUCAAAUAUUGUUACGGUAUCACAACAUAUCAUAUUCUUCCUGUUCUCUAUUCUCUAUUCUCUCUUGUCUGUUUUACUCUUCCACACUACAAGAAAUAUCUACACUCUUAGCACGAUAUAUAUAUAUAUAUAUAUAUAGUAGAGUGAAGCAGGUACAUAUAUCAACAGAUACUGAAAAAAUUAAUUUUAUAGCAUUGGUAAAUUAAUAAUUAGGUAACUAACACAGAGAAUUGUUUGUUUUAUCUAUUAUUAUCCUUCUCAUUUUGCUUAUUUACACAAAUUGCUAUUGAUUUUUUUUUUUACACAUGACAUUUUUAUAGAUACUGUUCAGCAUCGUCAACACUAUUCAUCUAAGACGAAGAUAUUAUUUGUUAUUGGAUAACUAUUCAGUUAACAUAAAUGAUUAAAAAGUUAUUAAAAAUAAUAGUAAAAAGAAGGGCGUCUACAUAAAAAUAUCAUACAUGCUUUUUUAAAUUAAAAAAAGUUAGAAUCAAUAAUAUAUAUAACAAAAAAAUUCAAAAUAUAAAAUUAAGAAAAUUAACAAAUAUUAUAUUAGUAAGAUUUACAAGAAUAAAAAAUAUGAGAAUCGAAUAACAAAUAAAUAUUUAUCUCUGAUAUUCAACGUAUAUUUUUAAGUGAACGAGUACGUUUUUAUACAAAAAUUAAAAUAGUAUUUUUUAAUUUUUUAUUAUCUUGUAAGAAAAAUUAUACUAUUUAGCACAAUUAGGUGUAAAAGAAAUUAAAAAUAAUAUAUCAUAAAAAAAACGAAGAAAAUAUAAUAUUUUAAACACAAACAUUAAUUAUAAACAUAAAAUUCAAUACAAAUUAUAAAAAUAUAUUAUUUAAAAUAUAAAUUAAAACAAGAUCCGCGCAUAUAUGCACGGGUUCUCUCCUAGUAUAUAUGAAAGUUAUCGCUAUAAGUUUAUGUUAAUUUUGUUAUCAUAUAAUAUAUUAACAUGUUAACAAAUAUAUAUGAUAAUUAUAAGUGUUAACAAAUAUAUCAGCUGUUCAGCUUUUGCUCAGGGCAUAUAAUAUUUUUAUUUUUUUUUACUAAUCGGGGCCAAAAUUCUCGGAUUUUGUUUUGCCGACUACAAAAUAAAAAGAAUAUUUAGGUUUUUCAAAGACGGAAGAAGGUGAACAGCUGAGUUUUCGACUGAUCAUGUGAGUUUAAAAAAAUAUUAUGGACUUUAGACAUUAUUUUAAUGGAUUUAUUGUGUUUGUUACCAUUUUAAGUAGAGAACGGUACUCCUUAGCCACACUGCGAUCGGCAAUGACGAUGUCAUCACCUAACAAAGCGUAGUCGAGAAAUGGUCUCGUCUGAUGAGGAUAUGCUCGUAAUGCUGCCAACCACACAAUAGCAUGGUGGGACAACGCGAAUAGAGCCCAGGAGCCGUAAUAACCCAAAGGUUGACCUGCAACAAACACAACUUCGUCAUGCCGUCCAGUAACGGACUUCAAAGAGCAUGAGUUGAGUGCUAAGGCACCAUUGACAAUGCACGAUGCCAUCAUUUGACCGAAAAGGCACGCCAUAAGCUCAUAUAUGACUGGAACGGGCCACCGAUCGGUAGACCCACGUUCAGUGACUUUGGGUUUUGGAGACCCACGUUCUACCGAACUGAACUAAGAGCGCUUUCUUAUCACAAUUGAUAAGACUGUAAAGACGAGGAUUCCUUUUUUUUUUUUAUAACCCCAAUAAAUUUUCCACGCCUAUACUAUCAUAUAUAAUAUGAGAAAUUGAAAGAUUAUCUAUGUCCAAUUUGAAUCGAUCUCAAAUUGAUCCCUCCUUACUGCUUAGAGGACAAAGAAUAGGUAGGGAUGACAGGAGAAGUCUCAGAUGAUCCUAUCAUUUGAGGAUUCGAACCUGUGACAUUUUUGACUCACAACAAAGGCGCUACCAAGCUGCGCUACAUCCCUUUCAAUUGGUUUACGGUCUCAUUGUAGAGAAUCCCUGCCCUCUUUUCCACAUCCGAGGAACGCCUCCAUCGAUAUCAAAUUUCUCUUGCCAUUUUUUCUUUUUGCUUUUGAUUUAUAUACUCAUCAUAAUCCCGCCCCUCCUACAAACGCUAACUUACUUAUGAGAAAAAGGCUGAUAAAGAAUCAGCCCUUUGAAUUGAAUAAGCGAGGCUUUCCCGAUAGAAAUGCUUGCAUGCGAGAGAGAUCCCAAUUCCGUCUAUCCGAAAAAAAGCAAGCCCUGCCGCCAGCUUCCACCCAGACAAAAAAAACAUGAGCGCCUAGCGAGAAAGGUUGCUUUACUAAAUAAUAUAAGGCGCGUUAGCGCUUUAGUUUUCAAUAAGGUAUUUAGUCACUCUACCAUUAGGCACUUUAGUGACUCGAGAACUUGUUUCGAGGCACCCUAGUGACUCGACUGAAAAGGAGAGGUUGUGAAACAAACUCGACUAAAAGGAGAGGUAUUGAUUACUCGAAGCGUAGCGAGAGGUUUCAAUAACUUGAGUGAAACGAGAGGAGAGGGGGGAGAAAGUCCAAUAUUGCAGUAAGUUUGAUAAUGAUCGAGUGACAUUGCUUUUUCCCAAGGAAUCCCUUAUAUAUGAUGAAAAAUGGAUCUUGUUCUAUCGUUGAUCAGAGAUUUCUCUAUGAAAAAUACGAAUCGGAGUUUGAAGAAGGGGAAGGAGGCCUCGACCCGCAACAGAUAGAGGAGGAUUUAUUCAAUCACAUAGUUUGGGCUCCUAGAAUAUGGCGCCCUCGGGGCUUUCUAUUUGAUUGUAUCGAAAGGCCUAAUGAAUUGGGAUUUCCCUAUUUGGCCGGGUCAUUUCGGGGCAAGCGGAUCAUUUAUGAUGAAAAGUAUGAGCUUCAAGAGAAUGAUUCGGAGUUCUUGCAGAGCGGAACCAUGCAGUACUAGAGACGAGAUAGGUCUUCCAAAGAACAAGGCUUUUUUAGAAUAAGCCAAUUCAUUUGGGACCCUGUAGAUCCACUCUUUUUCCUAUUCAAAGAUCAGCCCUUUGUCUCUGUGUUUUCACAUCGAAAAUUCUUUGCAGAUGAAGAGAUGUCAAAGGGGCUUCUUACUUCCCAAACAGAUCCUCCUAUAUCUAUAUAUAAAAGCUGGUUUAUCAAGAAUACGCAAGAAAAGCACUUCGAAUUGUUGAUUCAGCGCCAGAGAUGGCUUAGAACCAAUAGUUCAUUAUCUAAUGGAUUUUUCCGCUCUAAUACUCUAUCCGAGAGUUAUCAGUAUUUAUCAAAUCUGUUCCUAUCUAACGGAACGCUAUUGGAUCGAAUGACAAAGACAUUUUUGAAAAAAAGAUGGCUUUUCCCGGAUGAAAUGAAAAUAAGAUUCAUGUAAUGUAACAGGAGAAAGGUUUCCCAUUACUUAGCCGGAAAGAUAUGUGGCCAUGAAAUAGGGAUUAAGUGGAAUGGAAUUGACUGGGGUGGUAGAGUUGUAGAAACACUUGUUUCUUCCACUUAGCUCCAUGGAACAAUAUGCUACUACUGAAACAUGGAAGAAUUGAAAUCUUAGAUCAAAACACUAUGUAUGGAUGGUAUGAACUGCCUAAACAAGAAUUCUUGAACAGCGAACAACCAGAGCUAUUAGUCACUACAUCAAAAAAAUUUCCAUUAAUGAAAGAUGGAAAUCCAUUGGAAAAUCAAAAAUACGCAUGUCGGAUGAAAUUGUUGUUGCUAUCUGUUCCAAUAAUGAAUCAACUGAAUAACUAAAUAAAAUAGAUAGACCUUUCUCUUCGUCUCAGGUCGAUGGAUCUUCUCAAUUGAAAGAUCCCCUAUAUGGAUAAUACACAUUCCAGUUGACCGAGCCUAAUUCUAAUUGUUUUGUUCCGAAGUCAAGAUAUCCACGAAGUGGUUCGCCCUAUUCAGAUAUUCACGACCAAGAAGUACUCGAUUCUCUUUAGGAUAGGUCCUGAAAGGAGAAGGAAGGCUGGAAUGCCACCAGGCGUCUAUUAUUUCAUUCACCCGACCCGAUAGUACCAAUUUUGGUAACGUCCAUUCAGUGCCAAAGUCACUGAAUGGGUAAGUCACCAAUCCCUAAAACAGACUAUGUAAUGUACUCUAUCUGCUGGGUUAUGGGGGGCGUUUUACCAGAGGUUUAGAUUGUAUCAAUCUACCCUUGUGUGAUUCCUGUUGAAUCAUAUACUAUGGGGCGCAGGGCGGACGAUUUCAAAGCGGACUCCCCCUCCCCAUUCAUUAGAUAGAGAAGAUCGCCAAGAUUUCGCGAUCCGCUGCCGAACUUAUUCCAUUUUAAUAUUAUGCCUUGAAGAGGCGUUCCUCGAACCUCCAUGAUAUGUUCAUAAUUUGCAUCAUUUAGGUUGCAUAAAUCAUUCCAAAUCAUGUUUUAUUUCAUGUAUUUUAGGUCCUUAGGGUUUGUUUUAGAACUUAGGAGAUGCAUUAGGUACCAAUGAGUCUUUGCAUGUUUUGAGUGUCUAUCAGGUGAUUAUGGAGCUGAAAAGAUGAAUCCAGGAGGUGGAAUGGUGAGCAGAGCUUGAAAAAGUGGAAAACUUGAGUCUAUGGAGGUUAUCGGCCAUUCUCGCUGGCCAGGAAGGUUUUACCGGCCAUUUUCACGUACCGCGAAUUAAGUAUAUCGGCCAAAAUCUCCGGGUGCGAACGAGUCUCAGAAAUCACCUGUCCGGGGAGCCUUCCGGUCCGAUUCAGAUGGCGGGUCCUUCAUAGAAGUUGGAGAGCAUUGAAGCACGGUCUCAUAGCAAUUGGAAUCGUAGAAUUCGGACGCGUGAGCAGAGAGAUAAGCUCGUCGGAAGAAACCCCUGUCUCGCAGGUAUUCCGGACCGAGCAGAUCAGUUCUGAAGGAUGCGAAGGACGGUGCACUUCCAGGCCGAUUCAGCUUCCGGGUCCUUCAUGAGAAUCAUAGACAUUUGAGUCUUCUUUCCAGAACGUCCAAGAGCAUUCAAUUCGGAUCUAUGAGCAGGAAGAUACGGCCUCCGGAAUGGACACAUGUCUAGACGCCUCUCUCUGGUCGUAUACAUGCACUGCAAAGAUGUGCCCUCCAGGAAGCCUUCCACCUCCCAAGCACUGAAACUUCCUUCACAAAAGUUGGAGAUAAAUGAGUCCUCUGUCUUCUGCAACCGAAAUCAUUCAAUUCGGACAAGUAUCACAGGAGUUACACUCUCCGGAAUGCGAAGUGAUCUAAGCUGCUCUGGAUGCUGCGAGAUGGUCUUGCGACUUGGUUAACCCGCAGGCCUGAAGAUGAACGCCUGAAUGCUGAUGCUGCGAGUUGAAAUGUGCGGGUAAACUAUCACUGGAAGAGGUCUGGAGCUCCCGAGCAAGAGAAAUGCUAAGUCCACAAUCGUGCGACUUAGGCAUGCGAGUCAUCCGCGCCUGGAUCUAUGCCGCACGAUCACUCGGAAUUCACUCCGACUUGAGCCUGCGACCUAAGUGCAAUAGAGACCAACCCGCACAGUUUCUACAUCCCCCAGAAACCGGCUCAGCCCUGCGAGUUGGAGAGGAAGGAGACCAUGCCGCAGAAACACUCGCAAUUUACUCCUAGAUAGGCGUGCGGCUCCGACAAGGCGAUUCAAGCCUCACAAGACAAGUCUUCAUCUACUGCGACUUAGGUGUGCGGCCUGGGACAUACUGAACCGACCCGCAGCUUUUCCCACUUUAUCCAUUAAAGCCGGGUCAGGACCCGGUUUGUUCCGGGCUGACCCGGUUCGUUUUUAAGAAGGUAUAAAUACUUUUUAGGGUUUUUUGGGGGAGAACUAAGUUUUAUUCCCUUUGUCUCUUGCCUCUUUGGUGAAAAGACUCCAUUAAGAAGAGAAAUAUUUUUAUUUGAGUGUUGAAUCAAGAGAGUUUAAAGGGAUCUGGGUGUUUAAAGCUGUUUUCUUUUGAAUCUAUCAUCUCCAUCUCCAUUUCUCAUCAUUAAUCAUGCUAAUCUACUCAACUUGCAAAGGUUUAAGAGAGAUUAGUAUGAUUAGUGAGUAGUCACCUUAAUGAGGUUCUAGAUGUGUAGGUUAGGGUGCUAAAGUGUUAGAUUAGGAGUGCUUAGGGCUAGAUUCAUUGAUUCAUCUCUCUAAACAGCUGUUCUCUAUGCUAGAUCCUUGAUAAUCACUUGAGAUCUAGAUUCUGGGAAUUUCAUGCACCAAAAGUGUUUGAUGAAAUUCCUGAAAGAGUUGUGUUAGAGGUUUAAGUAAUUUUUCAUCAUGGGAAUGAUUUGUUAAAUGCUUGAAUGAUCAUUAAGAGCUGUUUGUUAAUGCAUAUUGAUUCAUGUUUCACAAAUGGGAAUUUGGUUUGAAAAUGGAUUAGUAUAGGGGUUAAUACCUUCAUGAGAGGAUUAACCUAGAUUAGAGUUCUUAAUCAUUUGAAUCAUGUCUCAUCAUUGUCAUUAGCAUUUCUAGUUUAACACCAAGGCACCCUAACCAACUAUCAUGUCUAGAAUCUCAUGCCUCCAUCAUAUCAUAUUCACAUCAUUUGUCAUUGUCAUUUGUCUUUAAACCUGUUUAUGUUUAUAGUUGUCUCUAGAUUAAUCAAAACCUAUUCUUGUUUGCUUGAAUUCGGACAAGUCUCAUAGGAGUUACACUCUCCGGAAUGCGAAGUGGUCUAAGCUGCUCUGGAUGCUGCGAGAUGGGAUUGAUAGCCCUGAGACCAUAAAAAGUCUUAUCUAUCAAUUGGCGCCGUUGCCAAGUUGUGGUUUGAUUAGCAUUAAGCUCUGAUCUGUUCUUGAGAUCAAGUGCUUACUUUCUUGUUUUUACUGAUUCCUUUCAAGUUCUGUUUGUGAUUUCAGGUGUAUGAACACCAGGUCUAGAUCAAGAAGCUGUGGUCCUCCUUUUCCUCUAAACGACAACAUCAACCUUUUGGUACCAAGGAGGAGAAGAGACAGACGUGGUAGACACAUUGAUCAGACUGAGAUGGCAGAACAAGGAGAUCACGUGGUAGAUAUGGAACAACCAGUUCAGGAGCAACAGGCUCAAGGUCAGGGAGCUGGUAUUGGAGUUGGUCAGGGGUUUCACCAGGGCAAUGUUCAGCAGGAACAGGUGCACCACCAACAAGCCUAUGUCCACCAGGGACAGGCUCAGGCUCAUCAACAGAGGCAUCAGGCCAAUGUUCAACAAAGACACCAGGUGCACCACCAACCCCACCCUUUCCAACCACAACAAAGAAGAUAUGAGCAACCCCAAAUCUAUGUUGGCAAAAAUGACAGGGCCAAUGCUCAUCAGUAUGGAGCUGGUAUUCAGGCACCACCUGUGCAGAACAACAACUUUGAAGUGAAAGCAUCAUUGCUGAAUAUGGUCCAGAACUCAAAGUUCCAUGGGUUAGCAAUGGAAGAUCCCUUGGAACACUUGGACCAGUUUGAUAAGGUGUGUGAUCUGACCAAGAUAAAUGGAGUUUCAGAAGACAGCUUUAAGCUAAGACUAUUUCCAUUCAGUCUUGGUGAUAAAGCUCAUCAAUGGGAGAAGAAUCUUCCAAGAGGCUCCAUUCAAACCUGGGAGCAAUGCAAGCAAGCCUUCUUAUCUAAGUUCUUCUCCACCUCAAGAACUGCAAAACUGAGGAACCAAAUCUCUAGCUUCACUCAGCACAGCAAUGAAAGUUUUGGUGAAGCAUAUGAGAGAUUCAGGAGCUACACAAACCAAUGCCCACACCAUGGGUUUAGUGAGGCUUCUCUUCUCAGCACACUGUAUAGGGGAGCUCUUCCCAAGAUUAGAAACCAGCUGGAUACUGCUUCCAAUGGGAACUUUCUGGGUAAAGAGAUUCAUGCUGCUUUAGAGCUAGUGGAGAACUUAGCAUUGAGCAAUGAUACUUAUGGUGAAGACUAUGACAGAUCAAAUAGGUCUGAAGGUUCAAGCUCAGAACAGAGGCUCACCAGAGAAGUUAAGGAGUUGAGGAGUGAAUUGGACAAGCUGAAAUUCACCACUCAGAAGCCAAUGCAUUUUGUUGGAGAGUAUGAGGAACCUUCUCAAAUUUUUGAGAACAUAAGUGAAGAAGGUCUUACCCAAGAGGAGCUCAACUACAUUGGGAAUCAGAGGUUCCAAAGAUAUCAGUAUGGUAAUGCCAAUCCAAACCUCUCUUACAGGAACACCAAUGUAGCUAACCCACAAGACCAGGUCUAUCCCAAUUCUCAAGCUCCAAAGAACUUUGUUCCCAAGACUAACUUUCAAGGGUCAUUCCAACCCAAGAAUCAAUUUGGUCAGAAUCAGGGUUUUGGCCAGCAACAACAACCAUUUCAGGGCACUGGUUACACUUCACAGCAACCAAAGGCACCACCAGGGUUUGGUCCACCACAGUUCCAACAGCAGGCGCCGGUUCAACAACAGUUUCAGCCACCAAUGGUUCAACAGCAGCCACAGAUGGGUACAGAUAUGGUUGGUAUUCUGCAACAACUACUUCAGGGUCAACAGACUAUGCAGCAGGAAAUCAAGGAACUGAAGCAAAACCAGGCAUCAAGCUCAAGGAACCAAGGUCACCUACCUGGAAAACCAGAACCCAACCCCAAGGAAUAUGCUAAAGCCAUUACACUGAGGAGUGGCAAGGAGUUACCUGGUAUUGAGAACAACAAAGUGAUCAUUGAGGACAAUGAUCAACCUGAGGGGGAGGCAGCCUUAAAGGAUGAUCAAGUUGCUGAGAAACCAAGGUCAGAAAAGGGUAAAGAGGUAGCAAAGGAACCAGAACCAGAGAAGAAGUAUGUGCCACCACCUCCAUACCAACCCAAGCUCCCAUUUCCAGGGAGAUUUAAGAAGCAACUAGUGGACAAGGCAAGAGCUGUAUUUGAGAAGGCACUCAAAGAGACACCACUCACAAUGCCUCUCAUUGAUGCAUUCUUAAUGAUGCCAAAGAUGGGGAAGUUCUUGAAGGAUGCUAUUCUGAACAAGACAAAAGAGCUUCAAGGCAUGGUAGUACUAAGUCAUGAAUGCAGUGCUAUCAUUCAGAAGAAGUCCAUUCCAAGGAAGUUAACUGAUCUAGGGAGCUUCACACUCCCUUGUGCCAUUGGACCUCUUCUAUUCUCUGGAUGUCUUUGUGAUUUAGGAGCAUCAGUCAGCUUGAUGCCAUUCUCCAUAGCUAAGAAGUUGGGCUUUAGAGUUUUCAAACCCUCAAAGAUUUCUCUUAUCCUUGCAGAUAGAUCAGUUAGAUUGCCUGUUGGUAUGUUGGAAGAUCUACCUGUCAAGAUAGGUGGUUUUGAGGUUCCAACAGAUUUUGUUGUGCUGGAGAUGGAUGAAGAGCCAGUAGAUCCCCUUAUCUUGGGCAGGCCAUUCUUAGCCACUGCAGGAGCUAUUAUUGAUGUGAGAGGUGGGAUAAUAGAGCUUCAACUUGGGUCUGAAAAGCUCAAGUUUGAUGUGAAUGAGAUGAUGAAGAAGCCCACCAUUGAAGGUCAAUGUUUCUAUGUAGAGACAAUGGAUCAGUUGGCUGAUGAGUUGCUUGAGGAGCUGAACACAGAGGAUCCUCUUCAAGCUACUCUGACUCAAGAACAAGGAGACAAUGGGCUCUUGGCUGAAGCAAGUGAAGGGUAUAAGCUGUAUCUGGACAAUGCAAGAGAGCUGGGUCCUGAGACAAGGUUUGUGGAGCUGGAACAGAAUGGCACUGAGGUUUUGGCAAUCCAAGAAUCAGUCACCAGCCAAAGCAGCUUGGACCAGGACUGGAAUGAGGCUGAUGCACCCUCUGUUGAGCUCAAACCUCUACCAACAGGGCUCAGGUAUGCUUUCUUAGGACUAAACUCCACAUAUCCUGUCAUCAUCAAUGAUAGCCUAUUAGAGGACCAAGAGAGUGCAUUGCUGAAUGAAAUAAGAAAGUUCAGGAUAGCCAUAGGGUAUUCUUUGGCUGAUAUUAGAGGGAUCUCUCCUGACAUCUGCACCCAUAGGAUCCACCUAGAGGACCAAUCUAUGUCCUCUAUUGAGCACCAACGUAGACUUAACCCCAACCUUAGGGAAGUGGUUAAGAAGGAGAUACUAAAGCUUCUUGAGGCAGGGAUAAUUUACCCAAUCUCUGACUCAAGAUGGGUAUCUCCUGUUCAUGUUGUGCCCAAGAAAGGUGGGAUCACAGUGGUGAAAAACGAUAAGGAUGAACUCAUAGCUCAAAGAACCAUAACUGGCCACCGCAUGUGCAUUGACUAUAGGAAAUUGAAUUCUGCUUCUAGAAAAGAUCAUUUUCCUUUACCAUUCAUUGAUCAAAUGCUUGAAAGGUUAGCUAAUCAUCCUUAUUUUUGUUUUCUCGAUGGGUACUCUGGAUUUUUCCAAAUUCCCAUAGAUCCAAGAGAUCAAGAGAAAACAACAUUCACAUGCCCUUAUGGCACUUAUGCUUAUAGGAGAAUGCCUUUCGGUUUAUGUAAUGCACCGGCUACUUUUCAAAGGUGUAUGAUGCACAUUUUCUCUGACAUUAUUGAAGAGAAAGUUGAGGUGUUCAUGGAUGACUUUAGUGUCUAUGGCUCCUCCUUCUCGGAUUGUCUCUCUAAUUUGACACAGGUGUUGGAGAGAUGUGAGCAACACAGCUUGGUGCUGAACUGGGAGAAGUGUCAUUUCAUGGUGCAAGAAGGGAUAGUUCUUGGGCACAAGAUCUCUGAAAAGGGCAUUGAGGUUGAUAAGGCAAAGGUGGAGGUUAUGGUGAAUCUGCAAACCCCCACUUCAGUUAAAGGGAUAAGGAGCUUCCUGGGUCAUGCAGGGUUUUAUAGAAGAUUCAUAAAGGACUUCUCAAGGAUUGCCAGGCCCUUAACAAGACUGUUGUGCAAGGAGGUGGAUUUCAUCUUUGAUGCUGAAUGUGAAGAAGCCUUUAAGUUGAUCAAGGAGGCAUUGGUUAGUGCACCAAUAGUUCAGGCACCAGACUGGUCUCUACCUUUUGAGGUCAUGACAGAUGCUUCUGACUUUGCUGUUGGAGCAGUACUUGGACAAAAGAAAGACAAGAAGUUGCAUGUGAUCUACUAUGCCAGUAGAACACUUGACUCUGCCCAAGAGAAGUAUGCUACAACUGAAAAGGAAAUGCUGGCAAUAGUUUUUGCCUUUGAUAAGUUCAGAAGCUACCUGGUGGGAUCAAAGGUCAUUGUGUAUACUGAUCAUGCAGCCCUUAGGUAUUUGAUGACCAAGAAAGAUGCCAAGCCAAGGCUGUUGAGAUGGGUUCUAUUGCUCCAAGAGUUUGAUAUGGAAGUGCUUGAUAAAAAGGGGAUUGAGAAUGGUGCUGCAGACCAUCUCUCAAGGCUGAGGAUUGAAGAAAAGGUCCCCAUAGAUGAUGCUUUGCCUGAAGAGUCUCUGAUGGUGCUCCAUUCAUACUUGGAGUUUGAGGAAGUAGAGAGCAUUCAAGAAAGGAGGAUGCCUUGGUUUGCAGAUAUAGUGAACUAUCUUGCAUGUGGGGUGGAGCCCCCUGAAUUGGAUGCUUACAAGAGGAAAAAGUUCUUCAGAGAUGUCCAGAGAUACUAUUGGGAUGAGCCCUACCUCUAUGUUCUGAACAAGGAUCAGCUAUACAGAAGGUGUCUUGCUGAAGAGGAGAUGCAACCUGUGUUGCAGGAAUGUCAUGGUUCUGCUUUUGGAGGUCACAUGGGGGCAUUCAAAACUGUAGCAAAGGUUCUUCAAAGUGGGUUCUGGUGGCCUACAAUGUUCAAAGAUGCCCAGUUGGUGGUUUCAGCAUGUGAUGCCUGUCAGAGGCAUGGGAACAUAUCUAAAAGAAGUGAGAUGCCUCAAAACCCCAUUCUAGAAGUGGAGAUUUUUGAUUGUUGGGGGAUUGACUUUAUGGGACCUUUCAUUUCAUCCUUUGGAAAUCAAUACAUACUUGUUGCUGUGGACUAUGUGUCCAAAUGGGUUGAGGCCAUUGCUUCCCCUACCAAUGAUUCCAAGGUUGUAGUAAAGCUGUUUAAGAGCAUCAUCUUCCCAAGGUUUGGAGUUCCAAGGGUUGUCAUUUCUGAUGGAGGAUCCCAUUUUUUGAACAAGACUCUGGAAGGUUUAUUGAGAAAGCAUGGAGUCAAACACAAGAUAGCUACUCCAUAUCACCCCCAAACUAGUGGCCAAGUAGAGGUAUCUAAUAGACAGAUCAAGGCCAUUCUGGAGAGGACUGUUAGCUCAAGCAGAAAAGAUUGGAGCAAAAGGCUUGAUGAUGCAUUAUGGGCUUACAGGACUGCCUUUAAAACUCCAAUUGGAACAUCACCAUUCAGUCUGCUAUAUGGGAAGAGCUGCCACCUUCCUGUUGAGUUGGAGUACAAAGCUAUGUGGGCUGUGAAGUUUCUAAACUUUGAUAUCAAAACAGCUCAAGAGAAAAGGAUCAUGCAACUUCAUGAACUUGAGGAGAUCAGGCUUGAAGCUUUUGAAAGCUCAAAGAUCUAUAAGGAGAAGACCAAGGUCCUGCAUGAUCAAAAGAUUCUGAAGAGAGAGUUCAAGUAUGGUGAUUUGGUCUUGCUUUUCAACUCCAGGCUUAAGUUGUUUCCAGGAAAGCUUAAGUCUAGGUGGUCUGGACCUUUCAAAGUUCUUGAAGUGAGGCCUUAUGGUGCCAUUGUCUUAAAAGGAAAGAAUGGUCAGGAAUUUGUGGUGAAUGGACAGAGAGUCAAGCAUUACUUAGUUUCACAAGGGAAAGAGGAGGCUACAACAGUUCCUCUUCUUGAUCCACCAGCCUGUUAAACAGGUUCUCAAAGUCAAACUUAGAGACUUUAAACAAAGUGCUCUUGGGAGACACCCCAAGCUUAUCUUUGUACAUAGUUCUUCUGAUUUCUUCUCUUUUCUUUUAUGUUUUAGAACUUUUUGAUGGGUUUUGUGAGUUGGUCUCAGGUACUAAGUGAUCUUUGGAGGACAUAGCUCAGUGAUGAAUGGAAAGAAGCAUGUGAGAGAGCUGAGAGAAGUGUUUAAGGCCAGAAAAACGUUUAAGUCCCAAAAGCUGCGGCCUAGGAGUGCGGGUCAGAAGAGAAGAGCCCAGGCCGCAGCAAGGUUCGGAAUUUACUCCGGCCUGGGCGUGCGACCUGGAAAGAGGAAGGCCGAGCCGCACAGAAAGAAGAAGGCCCGAAACGUUUAAGUCCCAUCUACUGCGGGAUGGUUGCGCGGGUCAGAAGAGAGGGAGCUAGGCCGCACGACUAUUCGGAAUUUACUCCGGCCUGGGCGUGCGACCUAGGAGCGUAGACGCUGAGCCGCACCAAAAAGAAGAAGGCCGAGGGUUCUAAGUGUUAAACCGUGCGACCUGGUGCUGCGGCCUGAAACCCAAGGAGUCUAAGUCGCACGAUCGUUCGGAAUUUACUGCGGGAUGGUUAUGCGGCUCAGAAGAACGAUGGCCAGGCCGCACAGAAAGAAGGGAAACCCAAAAUGCCUAAGUCCCAGAAGCUGCGGGAUAGGAGUGCGGGUCAGAAGAAAGAUGGCCAGGCCGCAGAAAGACUCCCAGAAGCUGCGGGAUAGGAGUGCGGGUCAGAAGAAAGAUGGCCAGGCCGCAGAAAGACUCGGAAUUUACUCCGAGUUUAAGUCCCAAAACCUGCGGGAUGGGUGUGCGGGUCAGAAGAAGGAUGGCCAGGCCGCAGCAAGACUCGGAAUUCACUCCGAGAUGGUUGUGCGGGUCAGAAGAAAGGAUGGCCAGGCCGCAGCAAAAUUAUUUCCGGUUCUACACCGAGACGGUCACACGGCUCGAUCCCGACAGUUCCCGGGCGCACAAAAGAGAGAAAGGAAGCCGGUCAAUGAGAAAAGGAUGGGUCAAAGCCUUGACUGGUCAAAAUAGAUCUAUUGACCACCAGUACAAAGGCUUGACCCUACCCCACACUCUUUCUUCCUCACUACAAACACGAGUUUGCAACUCUCUCUCUCAUUUCUCUCCAUUGUUUUCACCAUAUCUCUCUCAUUUCUCCACCAAAAUUGUUGAUUCAAAGUGCUCUGAGCUCGUUUUUGAGUUGUUAACAUCAUCCUGAUUGCAUUUCGAACUUGUUGCAUCUUAAUCCCAAGGUAUUUCGCCCUGUUGAAACUCAUCUCUUUCCAUGUUCUUCAAUGGUGAUUUUUGAACUUUAAGGUGUGGAAUCGAUUUUGAUAGGUUGUUUUAGACCUUGGGAUUAUUUUUAUAAAUGCUAGGGUGAUAGAUAAUCUUGGAAAACAGAGCACUUUGUUGGAAACUACUUGUUCUUGAGUUUUGAAAAUUGUUGCAAGUAAUUCAUGAAGAAAUCGAUUUUUUUUUUUUUUUAAAAAAAUUGUUGCAAGAGCUUUGCACUCUUGUUUCUGCAUUGCUAUGAAUUUAUUUGAUGCACUCUUGUUUCUGCAUUGCUAUGAAUUUAUUUGAUUGAUUCUUGGCUUCAGAAACUUGUUCAUGUGCUGUUGAUAUCGGUUUCUUGCAACAAUUGUUUUCAAAAUUUUGAAGACUUUUGUGAGGCUUAACCUUGUACUAACAAUAUUUUUGAGAAUCUCUUGGCAGAUGACUGAAAGAACCAACUCUUUGGCCAAGAAGAAGGGCCCUGCAUCAAAGGGCAAAGGUUUGGCCUCAGGAACUUCAAAGCCAAGAGACAAGGGUCAAGGUGCAAAGAAUACCACAAAGCAAGGAAAGUGUGAUCCAGCGCCAAAAAGGACAAGGCCUGAAGGAAGAGCUUUGGUGGUUGCUUCUGGCUCCAAGAAAAAGGGGAAACAGUUGGCUGUGGUAUCUGAGAGUGAACAGACUGAAAGUGACUCCGGCAGCUCAGCUGGUGGUUCCCAAGGCACCAAUGAAGAGGGAUCAAAGAAGUUCAAGAAAACUGAACCAGAAACACCUGAUUAUCUGGCUAAGUUUCAGCAGAUAGAGAUCCAGCAAGGGAGAUUCCCUGAUUUGGACUUUCUGAAGAAGAUUGGCCUCUAUGAAGAUGUCAAGACUUUGCUUGGGAACAUGGGUGUUGAGUCACUUUUGGAGAUGAGAGAAAUCGCUUAUGAGCAAGAGUCCCAAGAGUUCUUGGCCUCCUUUGAAGCUUUCAUUUACUACCCAAGGGAUUCAAGAAUCAUUCAAGGAGAUGGGCUUGGACAUGUGGAGUUUACUGUGAAAGGGAAGGAAUAUUCAGUGUCAUUCAGAGAAUUGAGUAAGAUCUUUGGGUUUUCAGCACCUAGAAAUGAAUUUCUCUCCAACUCGGUCAAUCUCAGAAAAGAUGAGAUCCAACUUCUAUGGAGAUCAAUUGCUUCUGGGAAGUACACAGCUGGAACAGCUAAGGCCUCUUGGAUAAGGAAUCCAGUUCUGAGAUAUGUACACAAGAUUCUCUCUCACAGCUUCUACUUCAAGAUUGAUGUUGGAAGAGUUCACAAAGGAGAUCUGCUGCUUCUGGGUGUAGGGCUGAGACCGCUGAUGCCAACACAUGAAGAUGGGGAACCCUAUGUAGGGUAUGAAUACCCACUUUGCCUUGCAUCUCAAUUAGCAAGGUCUUUGAUGUUCUACAAAAAGUGCAUGUGGGAUUCUACAAACAAAGAUGCAAAGCUGACCCAUGGAUGGGUGGUAACAAAGAUCUUGAAAGCCAUGGGGUAUAGAUUCAAGGAGAACAAGGCAAAGUUUGAUCUGAUUAAUGAAGCACAUUUGUGUAGGAUUGGCUUUCUCCAAGGAAGAGUGGGUACCAAGGCAGUCUACAACUUCAAGACACUCAUCAGUGAGCCAGCCCAAGUUCUCCUACCCAAUCCCUCCAUCACCACAGUCCAAGUUAAAAGGAACAUUCACUUCUUCUUGCUGAAGGAAGAGCUGUACAAUGUCCAAACUGAUCCACCAAUCCUCACAUACAGGCAAGCUUGCAGAGAAGAAGCCUCCAAGGGAAAGAAAGCAACCGCUGAAGAUGCUACCACAAGUGCAGCUGGUGCUCACGAUGCUGAUCUGCCUCCACCUCAAAAACGUUUUGGUGGAAACAGAUAUCACUUUGAUGAUUACAACUGGGAGGAACCAGGCACUUCAGGGUUCAGAGCUCAACAGAAGAUUGGUAUUCUCCAACAAUGGUGCAAGUACCAAGACAAAACCAUCCACAAGAUGGCCAAGUGCAUCAAGGAGAUGAAGAAGAGGAUCAAGAAGCUUGAAAACCCUUGCAAAGGUGGGGCUCCAGCACCAGUUUCACCAAGAAACAGAGAGGAAGUUGGGGAGAGUUCCAUGAACUGCACAGCCUUGGUCGCAUAUGGAACCACUUGGGUAGAUCUUGACGACGGGAGUGAUGAAGCCAGCCACCAUUCUUGGGAAACACCGUCAGGCCACACAUCGAACCCCUCCUACUCAUUGGGGUCUGAUUUCAACAGCCACUAGGUAACACUCAAAACCUUGUAAAUAGCAUGUAGACUUUCUUUUCCUUUUGCAUUUUGCUUGUUUGCUUUGGUUUCACUUCUUUCUCAUACUUUUAUAACACAAGGGACUGUGUUAUUUAGGUGUGGGGGAGGAGUUUCAUCCUUUACUAACCAUGUUUUCUAUUUUCUCAUUUUACACUUUGAGUCUUGAGUCACAUUCUAGUUGCAUAGUCAUCUAAGUGCAUAUAAAAACCAAAAAAAUGGAAAAAUCUGAAAAAUUUUCACAAAAAAAUGAUCAUGUAGUUGCAUUCUCAUUUUUAGGAUUGAGUCUAGAUUGCAUUUGCAUAUAGGUUGCAUCUUGCAAGGAGUAAUGAUAGGUUUUCUAGAGAGUACAUCACUUUGAGAACUUGAAUUGAAUAUGCUUGUGAAUCUUUUUCUAUGCUUGCAAAGUCUGAAAUGAUUUGAAUCUGAGAAGCAAGUUUGAAUUAAACUCAACUCUAAUUAAGUGGGAACCUUGAACUUGACCUGAAAAUAUCUUGUGAUGCAUUGUUUGAAAAAGCUUGUGGAUACCAAUAUACAUACUUGAGCUAGAACCACUGUUUUUACCACUCUUUUCCUUAGCUCAAGUAACUGAAUCCACAUCAUGGAUCAGUUCCCAUACCUUGAACCCAUCCUUCUUUUAAGCCAAUGUUUGUGUGAGAAUUGAAAGGCCACCUUGGAUCAAACUUAGCAGAAAGUGUUAGGUUUAGAGCGACAAGGGCAGGUCUCAUUGAGUGCUGUGUUCCAACAUCAAGGAACUGAGAGUUUUGGCGAGGAAUAAGUGUGGGGGAAAAGACCUUUUGGUGAGUGGAAAAAGGUGAGAUGAGUGGAAAGAGAGAGUGAAAAUAACUAGGGGAAUGAAAGAAAAAGAAGUCAGUCUUGGUGUUUUGAGAAAGUGAGCUCUGGUUUGUUGAAAAGAAAAAUCUAGCCUCUAAGUGAAAAAGAAAGAAAAGAAGCCAAAAGCUCAAAUGUUUUGAUAAGAAAGAAAGAAGAGGCUAGAAGUUGUAAAAGAAAAAGAGCUGUGUAAAGUUUGAGUUCCAAGACUUGAGAGUGAAAGUGAAGAACAAAUCCCCUAGUGAGAGGAAAAUGAGUGUGAAAAGUGAGGUUUUUGAGCAAGAGAGGAAGCGUUGAGUAGAGGGUGGGGAGUGAUGAGUCUUUGCCCUUGUAUGCAUAGGUUGCUUUUUACCUUUAGCAUUCUGCCAAAGUUUGAUCAUUCAUAGAGAGAUCCCUUUGCUGCAUUUAACCCACUUGAACACUGAUGAGAUCAUUUUAAUCUCAUAGCCUCUCCCUAGCCAAGCCAGCUUGUUUAAACCUUGCAUCAUGAGAUCCACCUGAUAAAAGCUUAAUGAAUGUGAAAGAGUUGAGAGAGAGAAGAACUUGUGGAGAUUCCUUGCUGAGUAGACAUAUAUCUGAGUAUGUCUCGAACCUCCAUGAUAUGUUCAUAAUUUGCAUCAUUUAGGUUGCAUAAAUCAUUCCAAAUCAUGUUUUAUUUCAUGUAUUUUAGGUCCUUAGGGUUUGUUUUAGAACUUAGGAGAUGCAUUAGGUACCAAUGAGUCUUUGCAUGUUUUGAGUGUCUAUCAGGUGAUUAUGGAGCUGAAAAGAUGAAUCCAGGAGGUGGAAUGGUGAGCAGAGCUUGAAAAAGUGGAAAACUUGAGUCUAUGGAGGUUAUCGGCCAUUCUCGCUGGCCAGGAAGGUUUUACCGGCCAUUUUCACGUACCGCGAAUUAAGUAUAUCGGCCAAAAUCUCCGGGUGCGAACGAGUCUCAGAAAUCACCUGUCCGGGGAGCCUUCCGGUCCGAUUCAGAUGGCGGGUCCUUCAUAGAAGUUGGAGAGCAUUGAAGCACGGUCUCAUAGCAAUUGGAAUCGUAGAAUUCGGACGCGUGAGCAGAGAGAUAAGCUCGUCGGAAGAAACCCCUGUCUCGCAGGUAUUCCGGACCGAGCAGAUCAGUUCUGAAGGAUGCGAAGGACGGUGCACUUCCAGGCCGAUUCAGCUUCCGGGUCCUUCAUGAGAAUCAGAGACAUUUGAGUCUUCUUUCCAGAACGUCCAAGAGCAUUCAAUUCGGAUCUAUGAGCAGGAAGAUACGGCCUCCGGAAUGGACACAUGUCUAGACGCCUCUCUCUGGUCGUAUACAUGCACUGCAAAGAUGUGCCCUCCAGGAAGCCUUCCACCUCCCAAGCACUGAAACUUCCUUCACAAAAGUUGGAGAUAAAUGAGUCCUCUGUCUUCUGCAACCAAAAUCAUUCAAUUCGGACAAGUAUCACAGGAGUUACAAUCUCCGGAAUGCGAAGUGAUCUAAGCUGCUCUGGAUGCUGCGAGAUGGUCUUGCGACUUGGUUAACCCGCAGGCCUGAAGAUGAACGCCUGAAUGCUGAUGCUGCGAGUUGAAAUGUGCGGGUAAACUAUCACUGGAAGAGGUCUGGAGCUCCCGAGCAAGAGAAAUGCUAAGUCCACAAUCGUGCGACUUAGGCAUGCGAGUCAUCCGCGCCUGGAUCUAUGCCGCACGAUCACUCGGAAUUCACUCCGACUUGAGCCUGCGACCUAAGUGCAAUAGAGACCAACCCGCACAGUUUCUACAUCCCCCAGAAACCGGCUCAGCCCUGCGAGUUGGAGAGGAAGGAGACCAUGCCGCAGAAACACUCGCAAUUUACUCCUAGAUAGGCGUGCGGCUCCGACAAGGCGAUUCAAGCCUCACAAGACAAGUCUUCAUCUACUGCGACUUAGGUGUGCGGCCUGGGACAUACUGAACCGACCCGCAGCUUUUCCCACUUUAUCCAUUAAAGCCGGGUCAGGACCCGGUUUGUUCCGGGCUGACCCGGUUCGUUUUUAAGAAGGUAUAAAUACUUUUUAGGGUUUUUUGGGGGAGAACUAAGUUUUAUUCCCUUUGUCUCUUGCCUCUUUGGUGAAAAGACUCCAUUAAGAAGAGAAAUAUUUUUAUUUGAGUGUUGAAUCAAGAGAGUUUAAAGGGAUCUGGGUGUUUAAAGCUGUUUUCUUUUGAAUCUAUCAUCUCCAUCUCCAUUUCUCAUCAUUAAUCAUGCUAAUCUACUCAACUUGCAAAGGUUUAAGAGAGAUUAGUAUGAUUAGUGAGUAGUCACCUUAAUGAGGUUCUAGAUGUGUAGGUUAGGGUGCUAAAGUGUUAGAUUAGGAGUGCUUAGGGCUAGAUUCAUUGAUUCAUCUCUCUAAACAGCUGUUCUCUAUGCUAGAUCCUUGAUAAUCACUUGAGAUCUAGAUUCUGGGAAUUUCAUGCACCAAAAGUGUUUGAUGAAAUUCCUGAAAGAGUUGUGUUAGAGGUUUAAGUAAUUUUUCAUCAUGGGAAUGAUUUGUUAAAUGCUUGAAUGAUCAUUAAGAGCUGUUUGUUAAUGCAUAUUGAUUCAUGUUUCACAAAUGGGAAUUUGGUUUGAAAAUGGAUUAGUAUAGGGGUUAAUACCUUCAUGAGAGGAUUAACCUAGAUUAGAGUUCUUAAUCAUUUGAAUCAUGUCUCAUCAUUGUCAUUAGCAUUUCUAGUUUAACACCAAGGCACCCUAACCAACUAUCAUGUCUAGAAUCUCAUGCCUCCAUCAUAUCAUAUUCACAUCAUUUGUCAUUGUCAUUUGUCUUUAAACCUGUUUAUGUUUAUAGUUGUCUCUAGAUUAAUCAAAACCUAUUCUUGUUUGCUUGAAUUAAGAACUUGAACAUAUAGCUUAGUGUCUAACACCACAUUUGGAUUGAUAAACCUCUUUGUGCUACAUUGACAAGGGGAUUGAUAGCCCUGAGACCAUAAAAAGUCUUAUCUAUCACUCCACGCUCUUUAGCACGAGAUUUUGGGUCUCGCGUGUCUACCAUUUCACCACCAAGGCGUUCAUCGGAGUGAAUCGUAUUCCAUAAAUAUGAUAUCUAUCUAGUAUGGCCAAUUGGACUGAAUGUGGUAUGGCAGCAGUAGCAAAGGGGCACAUUAAUUAGUAAGGCAAGCUGUAAGAAUAGCACUCGGAAAUCUCUCUAAAACCAAAGCCCGGGAGUCAAUAGACUGAGUGACUGUGGUUAGGUAGCUGUUAGUAGUAAGAAGCUCCGGUUCACAAAAAGAAAGAGUCACUGACCGAGUGCAGUGGUAAUACCGACAGAAAGAGCUCCCAACGGAAAGAGGUCCCUAAUAGGAGAGAAAUCAAUUCCAAAGGUAUGAAAUGACUCGAUAAGAGGUCCUUUAGAAGAAUGCGGAAGCACCACCAAUGGCCAGGCGCAAGGCUACGUCUGGCACUCUUGCAAGUAGGGAGUCCUAUGCCUUUUUAUGUAAACAGAAAAAAGCUCGAGAAGAUCUUUCCUCAUGUGGAUUCAAAAAGCAAGGAUCUGUCCAAUGGAUUUGCCUUGAAAACAAAGUCGUAUUUGAGUUGGCGUAUAUCAAUCUGAUAUGGCUCGGUGUGGAUGGCAGGCAGUCCUCUAAGUCUCAGUCUUGGUUUAGUCCAGUAAGAUCAUACUUUUCUUGGUGUCGUCCAGGUUUGAGUCCUGUAAGAUAUAUAGGAGACUUUUCUAUCAUAUUCAUACCGUUCUGUUGUACCCGAGCGACUAUGACCAGGAGGAGAGCUCAAGUUAGUGGCAGGAGAAGGAGAUUUUGAAGGUCAUGAAGAAGUGGAAGAAAGGAUGAGUGGAGAACGACUUUCGUUUGGGAUUUUGCAGCUCCAAGUUCAUAUUAGGCCUUGUGCUUGUUCGCUCAUCAAGGAGACCUACAAGUACGUCUUUUAGUUUGGUUUGGCUGGCCUUUAGCUAACUCUAACAGAAGAGCGGCAAGAGCUUCUCUGAAAAGACCUGUUCUCUUAUCGCUUUGAACAUUCUCCUGGGUUCCUAGUCCAAAGAAAAAGACAAGGCUGAGUUGCCCCUUCUACCAUCUGAGGUGGAAUACGGAUCAAGAUUUGCUGAGUUUGUUCUAUGGAAUAGGUUAGGCCCUCUCACUCUAUCUCAUGUCGGAGAAGGUUAUGUAUGAAUUUGAAUACCCACGAACGUCUAAGAGGUCAGCUACUUAGUUGAUUUGAUUUAAGGUAUCUCUUGAUCGAAGGGUUCAAGCCGCUAAAGCGGAAAGAUAUAUCUCUUUGCUUGAAGCGUUGUGGAUUUAGGCGUGUCACGCCAACCUUCUGUAAGUUCCUGGAUAAUCGUUCCCGGAUAAUGCCUGCCGCAGGGACUCACCCUAUCUUCGCGCAUACUUCCUUGUUUGUUCUGGGAGUUGAAUCAGAAGCAUCGAAUGAAAGCUUCUUUUACAGGACCUCUUCUAUUUCCCUCCAUUCUUCUUCCUAGUGACCUAGGAGUUGGAUUUGUGACAUUUUUUCUUUCUGCUAUUCAAGUAGCCAGGUCUGGUAAGUAAGGACUUUGGUCUCAGUAGAAGUCAAAAAGCCUUCAACAAGACCAUCCACUAUUGAAUCAGCUGCUAUAGAUUUAGCUAAAGAAUGUCUUGCACGAGAUUCAAUGUUAUGUGCUUGAUUGCGAUCACAUUUUUCUCGUAGUUGAUGAGCUGCCAACCUCCGGAAUUGAGGGUUGUAGGUAGAGUUUCCUGCGUUCAACUUGGAGUCUAAAGAGUUGGAUUUGGAGUUUCUAAAAGCUGUUAUUAGUUCCGACUCCCCGGUCUAGGCCUGGUACUUGUUAGUUCUAAAAUAUCAGUGUCGCUACUUUCUGUCAAAAAUUUCCUGCGAAGCUCUUUCUCUAAACAAGCUGUUUUCAUGCCUAUACUAGCUUUCUUUGUUUGACAGGUUGGGGAAGACUCAAUGCAAAGAGAUCAAGCUUACACAGCACAGAUUUGACCAGAAGGUCCAAGUUUCCGGUAAGCUUUCACAGAAAUGUACGGCUAGACCCUGUAAGAGGGGAUCGUCAUAGAUUUCGUACCAAUCCCCGCAUCGUUUUAGCUUUUGUUUGAUGAUGUCAGGUGGAGUCGUCUCCAUGAGUUCGAGUUGCUCGGCAGGGGCGCUCAUCCUUACAAAAUGAUCCGCGCGAAGGGAAAGAGAAGAAACUUCCGUACCUUAUUGUGAGAGUUCCGAUGAUUUUUCUUAGGGGAGCUAACGAAUUCCUGGUUGAAACUUCACUUAACACAGUCUUCGUUCACAUAGUAGAAGAGGUAGAGGGAUAGCUACCGUAGCUCGGAAGUCUUGACUCGCUACCUACAUACAUGGUAACCGCAGCUAUUGAAGGGAGACAGGGCUAAGGCAGAGGGAAGGAGUCGUUCGCUUACUUCUACCUGGCUGGGAUAGAAAGUUCCCUCCUUGAGAAGCGGAAGAAGGGGAAGUCAGCCUGUCUUAAAAUCGAUUAACUAAGCUAGCUUAAUUCUUGAACUACUUGAACUAGAGGAGCGGUACGAGCGGCUUACUACAAAAGAAAGGCUAUUUGAGAUGCUUUUUCCAGGCCAAAGUACUCUGACCCAUGCGAUUCAAGCUCACUGAGAACGGAUUACCCUAGUUUGAAAUUCAACUACGGACCAACAAAGAUUGAUUGUUGUCCCGUUGACAGGAAGAUGGAGGGUUCUCGUACUCGCUUGGCGGGGUGGGCAUUCUUAUUUGUUUAAGACUUCUCACAGGUUUUAGGCGCUAUGAGGGCUUGAUAGCUUUGAUGUAAUCGUUUUGGUCGUUGUUGAAAUUGAUGAGCCAAACAAGCCAGUUCUCAGCCUUCUAGAGUAUCCGUUUGAAUACGAGACAAAGGAAUCAUUAGGCCUAUCUCUCACUUUCUAAUACUAUUAUUGCUAGCUAAGGAGCUAGAGUAUACUAGUCUAGAAAAGAAUCCCACAGUUGGCUGUCUGACUCUAAUACCGAUGCGAAGGAAACUCAUUAAUUCAUUGAUGAGGGCGAAAAAACUCAUUAAUUCAUUGAUGAGGGCGAAGAAACUUUCAGCUUUAGAGAGUCCAGUUCCAGCGGAAGAAUAAGUACGGUAGCAAGUCAAAUCAAUCUCCUCCAACAGAAGGCUCUGACCUGACCACAGUCAAUCAGUCUAUUGUUCUGGUUCUAGAGAGUCUAACCGAGAAGAAAUCGUCUCAUCGCUUUGAGCCUGGUCCAGGUGUGGGGGGAAUGAGUCCUCCAUCUAGUAGCCCUUCCGACAAGAGCAGUUACGCCUUUUCCUAAAGCCCUUACUAAACCACCGCCUAGCGACCACGGAAAGCAUAGUCAGAAGAGCUGAAACAAUAGCCAUGUCGCUUACGCUCCUCGGGAAUAGCCUUUCGAACUGAACUACCACGACUCUCGUUAGCUGCAUCGGAUUCAUGAAUCAAUUUCUGCAGAUUAUCUCAUUCAAUUGCAGCGGCUUUAGCAGACAUCUCUUCUGCAUAGAUAGAAGAUCCGGCUAGAAACUCCUUUUCAUUGCCUUCUACUUUCAGUUUUCAAUGAAUUUCUCUAUAUCUAAUUCCAAGUGAGAUGUCCAAGAUCAAAGGAUGGAGGGUAAGAAUCGACUCACUCUCCUAACCUCAAAGGGAAUCUGAGAAACAAGUAGAUCAAGGAUUCCCAUGUUGCCUAUGGUGUCUUGCUCAAAGCUUAAUAAAAGCAAAGAUCACAUUCCUACUGUCAAGCUAAAGGCGAAAGAAGUUGCUUAGCUUAACCUCUUCAUAGACACAUGGGCGACCCAUCAGUCUGUAGCCUUCCAGAUAUAGACAUUCUUUUUGAUUCCCUGUACAGAAAAGAGAGAUUGCUCACUCCCUCUGUGCCACAUCCAACCUACGACCAAGAGAAAGAGAAGUUGACGACUCAGCCCUUCUCCCGGUGCGUCACAUUCAAGAAGAUGUGGUGCGGUUGAUCUAGUCUUUAGAAGAGACUCUACAGAUAGGUCAAGAGGGUGUCGAUUAGAGUUGAACAUAGUCAAGGUGUCGAUAGAGUUGAACAUAGUCAAAUAAUCAAUUCCUCUCUUCCAUUUCGUCCUCCUCCUCUCAUAAGGCAAAGGAUGAUAUCGAAUGAUCGAUUCACCAUUGAGAACAUGAAUCCAAUAUUUCUUCUUGGAACUCACUAUUAAGGAAGUAGCGAGAAGUGGGUGCAUUGCCUCACAUUCCAUCCGAAUGAGUGAUCUAGUUAGAGUUCAUAGAAAAGGGUGAGUUCACCUUACUUCUGGGCUAAGCAACUCCCCUUUAUUCACCCUUCCAAGAAGUUUUCCUGAGAAGUGAUCGGACAUAGUCGGCCUCUCUCUUAGAACUCAUAUGAUGAAUUAGACAAAGAAUAGCUAGGAUCUCUCUUUAGAUGUCCUGGAAGGCUCGGCUAUAUAUGAAAGCAAAUUAGAUGCCAAGCUGGCACAUAGUCUACUUAGGAUCGAGAGCGCGGUGACAGUAGAGAGUCUAGACAGAGAGAUGAGUGCAUCGAUGCGGCUCCUCAUACUUGGCAGUGUGAUGCAAGGAUUGAAAAAGCAAAUCUAGUUGCUGGGAAAUUCUUCUUUCUGGGUCUGCUAAAGUCAAAAAAGCAAGUCAAUUUGAACAAGGUGGAUGAAGCACAAGGGUCGAGUCACUCCGAAGAACGCCAUUCUCUCGACUGAGAGGAACGUCUUUCAGUCGAGUUUGUGUUCACAACCUCUCCUUUUAGUCGAGUUACUAAAGUACCUCUCUAGACAAUCACUACGUACCUCGAGUUGUAUAACCUGCCCCUUCCUUUAACUACCAAAUCUGCCAUCUCGCAUACCACGACCAUUCUCUCCUACCACCAAUCUGACCAUAACCCAUUCUCUGUGUAUUGAAGGCUAAUAAAUGAGCAGCUGAUGUUUCAUAGGUUUGAUGUCUGAGUUCUCUUUGAGACACUACAUCACUAUUAGGUAGGUACUGGAGGACGAUUUCAUAGACCUUUGUAUAGCUGUUGAAAAAGCCUCAUAGUCCUUACCAAGUCCUUGCAGCAACUUCAUAGGUUCGGAUACUGCUUUGCCGAUUGAGCUAAGCUGGUAAGGUAACAUAUAUGUUUAAACUGACUGAGAGAGUCUUCUCCAUGCUUUUUCCAUCCUUUCUUAUCAUUUGCAGAGAGCUAGCUUAUUAGCAAAGAAAAGUCACGAGAGAUAGAACAAUGAUUGAAAUGAUCAGCCAAAGAGAGACCUCCUGAGCUGUUGCAAGUCCAAAUACAUAUCCAAUAGCUUCUUCAGAGAGAGUACAAAAAAUCCAGGACUUUCAGAGUUGAUCGGUGCCAGGCAUCAUAGUCUGGGAAUCUCCUCUUCUGCAUGGCUAAAGGUGAGGUUGCUGUAUUUGGUCCACCAGAAUUUACUGGCCCAUUUAAGCCUAGUGGAAAGGGAGGGAUAUAUAAAGAAUCUGAUGGUUCCUUCUCUUAGCGUCAGUGAACCAAGUUCAGUGAUCUAAUCAGCCACGAAAAGUAAGAAAAAAGGAACUUUUGAGCUCGUCAACCACUUCGGUGAAGGAAUGGGAAUAGACCCGAUCUGGUUGUUGGUUUCAAACCCUCUUAGAUGGAGCCUCAACAGCAGCUAGGUCUAGAGGGAAGUUGUGAGCAUUACGUUCAUGCAUAACUUCCAUACCAAGGUUAGCACGGUUAAUAAUAUCAGCCCAAGUAUUAAUAACACGCCCUUGACUAUCAACUACUGAUUGGUUGAAAUUGAAACCAUUUAGGUUGAAAGCCAUAGUGCUAAUACCUAAAGCAGUAAACCAAAUACCUACUACCGGCCAAGCCGCUAAGAAGAAAUGUAAAGAACGAGAAUUAUUGAAACGGAAGAUCAAUCGGCCAAAAUAACCAUGAGCAGCUAAAAUGUUGUAAGUUUCUUCUUCUUGACCGAAUCUGUAACCUUCAUUAGCAGAUUCAUUUUCUGUGGUUUCCCUGAUCAAACUAGAAGUUACCAAGGAACCAUGCAUAGCACUAAAUAGGGAGCCGCCGAAUACACCAGCUACACCUAACAUGUGAAAUGGGUGCAUAAGAAUGUUGUGCUCAGCCUGGAAUAAUCAUUAGAAGCAUGUACCGGACACCUCACCUAUUGUUGUCUACUGGCGGCCACUUGUCAUAAAAAGAAAAGAAAGAGCACGCCGUAAGCGCACGAAACUAUGAGCUCCUAACUACUGUGUAAUCAAUAUCUCCUUACCCCCAUGCAUACUAAAACUAAAAGAAUAGGACAAGGAAGUGACAUAUAAUACUAAUAUAAUAGAAAGCUGGUAUUCAAUUAGCUAGAGAGGGAGACAGGGCUAAGGCAGAUGUUAGUCUAAUCUUCCUUAUAAUGGCUUGUGCAAUUGAAGUUUGGUUUUAUACUAAGGAAGAUGGCAUAGAAUGUGCUGUUGUCGCAUGAAUAGAAAUAGGUUGUUCAAGAAGUGGUUGCAUAUAGUUGAAGGGGGCUUGUAUGAAGAAGAAAAGGCGUUCCUCGGAGCUGUUGAGUCAGAUGUGGCAUUAGACUGUUUUCAAAUAGGUUCUUCUCGAAGUGGUCAUUAGUAAGCCAAGGAACUGAUAGACCCAAGGCAAAGAGUCCGUUCAUGGUAUAAGUCCUUUCCACUAAGAAUGCCGACUUUCCUAAAACGAUUGGAACUAGGGAAAGGGGAGAAGGCAGAAGGUAAGAGAAAAGGGAGAGGGUAGAGUGGCCGAGUGGUCAAAAGCGGCAGACUGUAAAUCUGUUGAAGUUUUUCUACGUAGGUUCGAAUCCUGCCUCUCCCACUUGUUGUAGUUUUAGCAUGUAUAUGUGAAAAAAGGAGAUUUUCUU